rnacentral:lncRNA from 1 species
AUGUGAGAGUUUCUCUUUAUAUGCAAAUGUGAGACUUCUUAUGAGUGCAGUAAUAUAAAUUUUAGACUAUCACUUAUAUUAAGAAAAUAAAAUUGAUCACUUUGAACAUAAUUCGAUUGGUAGAUAUAUUGUAAGAUGCAUGAGUCAGAAUUCCAAUAUAAAAUUCUCCACUUAUUUUUUUUAAUGGCUGAAAUUCUAACAUUUUUUUUUUUGUCAAGAAAUUCUCCACUAAUAUUUGACAAAACUAAAUAUAACGAGAAUUACACUUACGAAAACUUUUAGGUUAAAAAAUGCAUUUAUUUACAUAAGUUUCCGGCCACUUUUGUUUAAUGAUUUUAUCUAACCACAAGUAAAAUAAUUGUAUCAUGCACACGUUCUUUUUUUCCAUAAUUAAAUCAAUAAAUCUCUUUUCAAAAAAA